AUAAUGGGUCAGCGACUUAUAUUCUGUAGCAAGGUUAACCGAAUAGGGGAGCCGAAGGGAAACCGAGUCUUAACUGGGCGUUAAGUUGCAGGGUAUAGACCCGAAACCCGGUGAUCUAGCCAUGGGCAGGUUGAAGGUUGGGUAACACUAACUGGAGGACCGAACCGACUAAUGUUGAAAAAUUAGCGGAUGACUUGUGGCUGGGGGUGAAAGGCCAAUCAAACCGGGAGAUAGCUGGUUCUCCCCGAAAGCUAUUUAGGUAGCGCCUCGUGAAUUCAUCUCCGGGGGUAGAGCACUGUUUCGGCAAGGGGGUCAUCCCGACUUACCAACCCGAUGCAAACUGCGAAUACCGGAGAAUGUUAUCACGGGAGACACACGGCGGGUGCUAACGUCCGUCGUGAAGAGGGAAACAACCCAGACCGCCAGCUAAGGUCCCAAAGUCAUGGUUAAGUGGGAAACGAUGUGGGAAGGCCCAGACAGCCAGGAUGUUGGCUUAGAAGCAGCCAUCAUUUAAAGAAAGCGUAAUAGCUCACUGGUCGAGUCGGCCUGCGCGGAAGAUGUAACGGGGCUAAACCAUGCACCGAAGCUGCGGCAGCGACGCUGAUGCGUUGUUGGGUAGGGGAGCGUUCUGUAAGCCUGCGAAGGUGUGCUGUGAGGCAUGCUGGAGGUAUCAGAAGUGCGAAUGCUGACAUAAGUAACGAUAAAGCGGGUGAAAAGCCCGCUCGCCGGAAGACCAAGGGUUCCUGUCCAACGUUAAUCGGGGCAGGGUGAGUCGACCCCUA
rnacentral:rRNA from 1 species